rnacentral:rRNA from 1 species
AUUGAACGCUGGCGGCAUGCCUUACACAUGCAAGUCGAACGGUAACGCGGGGCAACCUGGCGACGAGUGGCGAACGGGUGAGUAAUACAUCGGAACGUGUCCAGUAGUGGGGGAUAACCCGGCGAAAGCCGGACUAAUACCGCGUACGACCUACGGGUGAAAGCGGGGGAUCGCAAGACCUCGCGCUAUCGGAGCGGCCG